AACAGGAUGAUGAGGAGGAAUUCAACAACAUUGCUGUCUUUUUCAUUGGUACUGCUGCAUGUUUGUAUCAGUGUUACCUUCUAGCAUGUUACAGCGGACGGAGGAAUUUGAAAUCUUUUCUGAUGUUUGGUUUAGUCUGCCUGUGCAAUCUGUACCUGCAUGAACUUCGCAAUACCUGGCAAAUUCUGUUUCACGUCACAGUGGCUGCAUUUGCUACUCUGCAGACACGGAUGAGGCAGCCACAGGGAAAGGCACCAGACUACAACGUGUGACAGUCUGUGACUGUGGAAAGCAGCUGUUUCAAGAGAUUUAUGAUUCUGCAGGAAGCACUUGAUAGUGUGGAACAAAUAAUUCGCUUCUUUAUACAAAAAAAGGGACAAGAAAUGGGCCAAAUGGGGAAAAAUGUAUUUGAAUUCCUCAGAAGUGUUGUGACAAAAUGAUGCCAUUCUGAAACUGAUUGCUACAAAUCAAAAUUGUGAGGAUGAAUUUCUGCUGUCGGCCCAUUCAUGUCUCAUUGUUGCAAUCUAUGUAUGAACAGUGACCUGUUUCAGCAUGAAGCUAGAAAAUCGUGGAUAUUAUGUUAAUUCAGUCCAGACAAAGAACUACUGUGAAACUUCCCCUUUCCUUAUACUGAAAUUUAUUUCCGUUCUAUUUUUCUGUUCAGAAGACAUUUAUCAGGGUAUGGCUCUGUUGGCCCUGGCACCUUUGUCGCCUUAACCUUAAUUAAGCAGCCAUUCUUUGUGUGUGUGUGUGUGUGUGUGUGUGUGUGAGAGAGAGAGACAGUCCUGUAAGUGUUGCGUUAGAAAGUUGUCCUUUGUGUCCUUGGCCAGAGAUGCUAACACAUAGCGAGAGACUGCAGCACCCUCUGAGGAUGCUGACUCUCUGUUGAGGUGUCUUCGUCCGUUAGUGCUCAUGAUAGGUCCCCAUGCUAACCUUGGCAUGUCCCAGCUACCAUUUAUCCCUCACCCACCCACCACUUUCCAGCCAGCUACCAAGUCCAUUCCUCUUUUUUUUUUAAAAACUUGCUUUCUUUAGUUCUGACCCUUCCUGAAUGUUUCUUAAAUCCACAGUCAAGUGGACCCACUGUCAGGCCUCCUUGUCAGUGCCAGUUUGGAAGGCUGAGGACAAGUGCUUAUUGCACCCCACAGUUUUUAUUUUGCAUUGACAUGCACUUAUGAAGAUUCUAGCCUUUGUUUCAGGACUUGCCUUUCUGAGUUCAAGGUUUUAAACUUGUGAGCAAUCGCAGAAAUGAAUCUGCUCUCUCCAGCCCAUGGCACAAUCCCUUCCUACACCUGCACACUGCGCCUCUGUUACUUGUCAGGUUCUAGGUUCAUUCGAUCAGAUUUUGAUAGUUUUGGGAGAGAAUUGGGCUCUUUUGGGAAACAUAUCAUACGUGCAAAUGUCUGUAUACAGUGUGUGAACAUGUUCCAAACUUUUGUAGAAAAUUGGUAAGAAAUAAAAUAUCUAAGAUAUAUAUUUAGAGAAA